CUUCUGAGUAAUCCUCCGCUUAUUGAUAUGC
rnacentral:rRNA from 1 species